rnacentral:rRNA from 1 species
GAUGAACGCUAGCGGCAGGCUUAAUACAUGCAAGUCGAGGGACAACACAGGUAGCAAUACUGGGUGGUAACCGGCAAACGGGUGCGGAACACGUACACAACCUUCCUUUAAGUGGGGGAUAGCCCAGAGAAAUUUGGAUUAAUACCCCGUAAUAUAGUUGAAUGGCAUCAUUUGAUUAUUAUAGCUACGGCGCUUAAUGAUGGGUGUGCGGCUGAUUAGAUAGUUGGCGGGGUAACGGCCCACCAAGUCUACGAUCAGUAGCUGAUGUGAGAGCAUGAUCAGCCACACGGGCACUGAGACGCGGGCCCGACUCCUACGGGAGGCAGCAGUAAGGAAUAUUGGUCAAUGGACGCAAGUCUGAACCAGCCAUGCCGCGUGAAGGAUUAAGGUCCUCUGGAUUGUAAACUUCUUUUAUUUGGGACGAAAAAGGGCCUUUCUAGGUCAACUGACGGUACCAGAUGAAUAAGCACCGGCUAACUCCGUGCCAGCCGCCGCCGUAAGAC